AGUCGGCCUGGAUUAGCAAGAUGGGGGUUACAAGACUUGUUGGAUCAAUUAAUGUUUUCGUUAGGCCUCCACUUACCUUGUUUGGCAGCUAUGUGAAGAAUACUCUGCUGAUCCCGGUUGAUCUCAUCCAAAUCAUCCACCACUGUCAAAACUUUAUCUUGGACUUUCAAUACCACCGGUUUCUCCGUGGCCUUCUCCGCAUCAACACUUUGGCUUUGACCUCGUUAUAGGGAGGAUCCCUGGAGGUGCCGACUUGAAGCUCAGAAGCAUCAUCGAUCCCCUCAGGUAAAUA